UAGUGUAGUUAACACCUGCAUUAUUUGACGUUACCUACAGAAGAAGCACCGGCUAACUCCGUGCCAGCAGCCGCGGUAAUACGGAGGGUGCGAGCGUUAAUCGGAAUUACUGGGCGUAAAGCGCAUGCAGGCGGCCUGUUAAGUCAGAUGUGAAAGACCCGGGGCGUUAACCUCGGAAUUGCAUUUGAAACUGGCAGGCUAGAGUCUUGUAGAGGGGGGUAGGGAAGUUUCUAGGUGUAGCGGUGAAAUAGCGUAGAGAUCUGAAGGAAUACCAGUGGCGAAGGCGGCCCCCCUCGGACAAAGACUGACGCUCAGAUGCGAAAGCGUGGGGAGCAAACAGGAUUAGAUACCCCUGGUAG
rnacentral:rRNA from 1 species